rnacentral:rRNA from 1 species
AUUGAACGCUGGCGGCAGGCCUAACACAUGCAAGUCGAGCGAGCGGCGGACGGGUGAGUAAUGUAUGGGGACUGCCCGAUAGAGGGGGAUAACUACUGGAAAAGGUAGCUACUACCGCAUACUAUCGGAUAACCCAUAUGGGAUUAGCUGGUAGGUGGGGUACUGGCUCACCUAGGCGAGGAUCCCUAGCUGGUCUGAGAGGAUGAUCAGCCACACUGGAACUGAGACACGGCCCGGACUCCUACGGAGGCAGCAGGGGGGAAUUUUGGACAAGGGGCGCAAGCCUGAUGCGGCCAUGCGGCGGGUAUGAAGAAGGCCCUAGGGUUGUAAAGUACUUUCAGUCGGGAGGCGUUACCGACAGAAGAAGCACCGGCUAACUCCGUGCCAGCAGCCGCGGUAAUUC